UGCCAAACAUGAAAUCUCUGUGAGUCUUGAUUUUGUGAGGAAAGGAGAGGAGGGAGGAGCAAACAUGCCAAUAACAUCAAGUCAACCUUAGAUCUUGGAUGGACAGUGCUAAAAUGGGCACUGUGACAAAUGACAAAUGAGUGGCAGCAAAUUACAGAGACAAAGAACAGAACACUGAUUUUACUUUGUCCUGAGGCCUCUUGGUUUUAACUCUCUGUUCCUAAGAGACACCUGAACUAAGUAACGUUUCAUCGUAACAUAUAAUUAAACUACCACCUUUCCAUGCUUUGUGGGAAGAUCAUAAACUAGUGCCCUGGAUUACUUAAGCGAGAUUGCUGAUAGCUGUCAUAAUGUCUUGUGAAAACUGGGCCCUAGAGCCACUGUUGAAAUUUAGGGUGUACUGAUUUGUUUAGCAGCAGUGUAUCCAGGGUGGAUGAUCUUUCUCAAACAUUUCUCUUCAGGUCUUGGUUCUUACAGGCUGAUUACAGAGUUCAGUCAGGAACUCUCAGGGGUUGACACUCAAGACUCCUGGCUACUUGCUAGUGUUUUUGAAUUAUGUGAAGUUUCAGUGAUCGUGUUAUUGAUACUUGGCAUUCCUGUACUCCCUCAUACAAAUACUGUCGCAUGGAUGAUGGCAGAUGAAAUGGGCUCUAUCUCUAUUCUUACACUGAAGAAUUUAUUAUAUAUAUUUAAGAUCUCUCUCCAAGUCUUAGAAGGGGCAGAGAGCUAUGUGAGGCAGCCAGCUCCACAAAUCGCUAAUCCCAGGGCACAGCCUGAGAGUCUCUGAGAAGGGAAAUGGAUUCCUUCUCUAGACACAGGACAAGACAGGUGUCCGCAGGCAGAAGGCGAACAAGGGGCCAUGGGCUAUAACCCCAUCCCCUCACUGAGCAUUACCUUACACCACCUUGUGGCCUCCAUGCUCAGGUGCUCCCCACUGUUCAGUGCCUUUGAGGCCAUGUGGAAAAGCAGAGGCCACAGGUGCAGGGCCUCACCAGGCGCCCUCAGUGAUCUAAACGCAGGACCGCACCUCCUCUGCCCUGGCUCCUACCCUCUCUGCUAGCAUGGCACUUUCCCCCUCAGAUCCACUGUGAGGUAGAGUGGAUCCUUGGAUUGUGAGUCACCUGUUCUGCAAGCGUUCUGCAAGAUGAGCAAAGGUUGGUAAUAAAUUUUAACUUGGUAAACAAGUGAUGUCUUGCAAUAAGAGUAGUGCUCCCUCCUUCCUCUCCUCCCUCUCCCUGUCCCGCCCUAGCUCCCUCACUGGGGGAGCAUGGGUGAUCAUCUCCCAGCAGGAAGACUGGUAAGGGAGAUGUAUCUGCAGAGGAGGAGGAGGAGAAAAAGGCAGAGGAGUCUCUCACUUCAGAAGGAAGCCACUGAGUGAAAACUACACGAAAAGAAGAUUCCAUUGAGCCAUUAGACGGCAGUGAUUCGGCAGUGACAGUGAAGUGUCACCAGUAACCCUCCUCUUCUGGUCUUCCUCACACUAGCCACAAAGGAUAUGGUGGUGCACACCUGUGAUCCCAGCUUUCGGGAGACUGAGGCAGCAGGAUCACUGCAAGUUUAAGGCCAGCCUGAGAGAAGCCUGUUGCUAUCGGAUUGCCUACCAAAAAGAUAUUUCGGGGCUACAUGGCGGUAGCUUACCGGUAGAGUACUUGGCUUGCAUGUGCCCAGGUUUGAUCCCUCAGCACUGAAGGAGGGAGGGAGGGAAGGAUUUUGAUGAUUCUCACUAUAAUCAGUAAACUAUCGCUCUGAGAUACCUGAAGCACAUGUUCCCCCUGGGGCUGGGCUCUACUGCUUCUUCCACCUGUGGUCACAUCAUCUCUGCCCUCUCAGGACCACUUUAGGUGAAAACACAAUUUUGAAAACUAUAUGCCGUGUGAGGGGAGGAUUGAUGAGAUAAUUGCUCAGAUUUCUUGCAGCUCCAAAGUUCUGUGAUCUCGUGAGAUGAGUUGUUAAAGAAAGGUGUUAUGCCUAUGAAAACCAUCUAAAUAAAUCGAAAUGAUAAAAAAUAUCUGAGAGGUGCUGAGGACAAACAGGUACACUCAUGUUUACCUGUGAAAAUAUUUUUGCAGUAAGCAGUGUGUGUGUGUGUGUGUGUGUGUGUGUGUGUGUGUGUGUGUGUGUGUACACAUAGGUAUGUAACCUAGCAUUUCUACUUUUGGAGAUUUAACAGUUAAGGAUGGUUUUUGGUCACAAUUACCAGAACCCUGCUUCUAGAGUUUAAAUGUAUAGAAGUUUGUGUUUCUGACCUACCAAGAGGUUGAGAGGUAGGCAGUUUCUGGCAUGGGCUUGACAGUCAGAUUCUGUUCAAGACAGACUCUGGGAUCCUCUUGGUCACAAGAAAGCCAUCUAUGGUAGUCACAGAAAUUCACUGCCCAGAUUUCUCACUGUGGAGAGAGCCACAGUGGACGGACAGACCAUCUCAGCUGUCAGAGGCUCUGACACCAGUGAGGGGACAGAGCAGAGCUGCAGUGCAGCCCCAGGCCUGUAAGAUGCAGUGAAGGACGGUGGUGGAACAGCUGGGACAGCUGGGAAAAUGUGAAUCAGGUCGGUAGAGCAGCAUAUAGCAGCGAAUCAAUGUUACUUUCUUGAUUUUUGAUAAUUGUACUAUGGUCAGGUAAGAGAAUUUCUUAUUUUUAGAAAUGUACUCACAUGCUUAGUGGCAAUAGGAAAUUGUAUCUACAACUAAUUUGUAAAUGGUCCAGGGAAAAAAUAUUCCAGGAGAGGAAUGGAAAUGUUAACAUUUGGGGACUACAGCAUACAGUUGGGGGUUUUUUUUGUACCUUUUUUAUAAGUCUGAAAUUGCUUCAUAAUACAAAGCUAAACGCAUCUAAAAAUAUUGAUGUUCACAGUUGAACAAAAUUGUCAGGGUCUAUAGCAUAAAAAAGGGUAAAAUGGUACUGUUGACCGUUUGUUUGUUUGUUUGUAUAAGACAAGGCCUCACUUUGUAGUGCAGGCUGGCAUUGAAUUCACCUCAAACUCAAGAUCUUCCUGCCUCAGCUUCCUGAAUGCUGGGGUUAUUGGCAUGUGGCACCAGGUGAAAAUGGUAUACUGUUAUCAGCUUACUCCAUCUUAUGUUUUAUUCAUUUAUCACUUAGAUGUCUCUACGUUACCUAUUGUCAAUGGAAACUUGCUACUCUUCAAAAUAAAUGAAAGAGAGAUAGCAGUUUUUAAGGUCCUGUUUUUGUUAGGAGAAACAGCAAUUUUUAAGGUCCUGAUCAGCCUCUGAUCUCUGAGCACUCUCCAGGCUCUGGCGUUCUAAUCUCAGUUCUGUCCACAGGGCUCUGGGUGCUUUGUAUUUACCCCAAGGUUAGGAUCUCAAAACUCCUCUGCGUUGAACUUCUACUAAGAUGGUCUCUUGUUUCCUUAAACAAUAUUCUUGUCCAGCCCUGGGGCUCUUCCCCUGCCUUGUCACCUGAAUCUCCCUCAGGUGGUCAGAAAUAACAAGCCAAGUGUUUAUCUCUCCAGAUGUUUAAGGGCCCCAAAGCGGUAGGAACAAGCCCUGGGAACAAAACAGACAGAAGCUACACUCUCACGGGAAAGCCACAUUCUAGAAGCGACAGAGAAAACAUGAGAUGCAUGUUCAACAGGUACCUACGGACAGGUUGCCAUCCGAGAGAAAAAGGACACUUGUCUUAUGGAGCUCCUGGUCCGGACCCAGCAAGCCGUGUUGGAGUGAAACAGCCCGGGGUCGAGGUUCUGGGCGACUUCCGAGAAACCAUUAGAGAACAUCUUCCUCCUGGCACCCCAUCGAGCGGGCACAACCUGGAUGCAUUCUUUCCAGGAAGGAGAAUAAGCAAAAUGUCAUUGGGUCUUCCCGGAAACAGGCGACCUAAGCUCCUGUUGGCGGAGUCAGGGCCUGGUGCAGCUGGGCCCCUUGACCUGGAGCAGACCAGACGCAAUGAGGCAGGUACUCCUAGGACCAGGAGGCUCAAAGGGUGUGAGCUGUCACCUGCACUGAGGCUCCAGCGAAGCCGCAUGGGACCAGUCCCAGUCCCGAAGGGGCCCUGGCUCCCAGCCCUUCUGCCCUUCGAAUUAGCAGGGCCGACUCCAACACGACCCUUACUUCACUGAUUAUUUUUUCCGUCUCUAGUAAGUCCUUUCUUUCACGAUAGAGAAUCUCAGAAUCAAAACCAACUGGUGGAACCGUCUCAGUGCGGCUGUUCUCCCAGUGGGGCACCAACCCAUUUGUCUGCAGGAAUGAAUCGCAUCUCCAGGGCCUCCCCACAAAUGCCAUCACCCUGAGGCUGUGAUUUCAACUCACAACUAGCAAGGGGACACGCAUUUCAAAGGAAACAGCUAGGUCUCAAAAGCUUUUCUAUCAUCUCGCUUUAUACAUGUUCCUUAAAAUCAUCCUGAUGAAGUGAUGCUCUCCUGAUGCAAACUUCACCUCCUGCUGCAGAGACACUUGGUCAAUGCUGUGUUCUGGGGUUUUCUGGGACAGAGAUCUACAUAUUAGUGACAGCCCCAAGGAGCUUUCAUAAUGUGAGUCGUGUUUAUUUACUCUUACCAAGUUCACAUUUAAAACAUAAGUUUGUGGGCCAGGGAUAUAGCUCAGUGGUGCCAAUAAAUAAAUAAAUUAACUAAUUAAAAUAAAAUCAAGGCGGCAGGGCACUGGGGACUAAGCAUGGGGGGUCCUGAGUGAGCUUCAUGCUCCGUUACUGAGUCCCAGCCCCCAUCCACAAAGUGAGAAGCCGUUAGCAUUUUUAUUUAAAAAUAAUAAUAAUAAACACACAUGUAAACAUAAAUAUUUUUCACGACAGUGCGAGGAGUGUCUUUGCCAUACUUUUUUGAACUCACUAUGUAGCCCAGGCUGGCCUCGAACUCACAGCUGUCCUCCUGCCUCAGCCUCCUGAAUGCUGGGAUUGCAGGCGUGCAACACCACACCCAGUCCUGUUUUACAUUUUUACAAACACCCUUAACAUUUGGCCCAGUAAAAGGCAGUUGAGUGCCUUGCAGCUUCUGUACUCACUUGAAUUUCAUAUCUUGGUCACAGAGCUGUUAGAUUCCCAGCACCCCAAGGGAUGAUGAGAGGGGCAAGUCCACAGGGCCCACCUCAAAGGUCUAGGGCAGCCCCCAGGAUCCCUGAGACAUACUCGGAGACCAGCAUUAGAGAUACUGCAGGCUGGUAGCAAUGUAGAUGGGUCCUUUUCUUCCUUACAGGUAAAUGCUCCUUACUUGACUCUCCUCAUAUCCUCCUGGCCUCUAACUUCAUGAGCUUCUUCUCACCAAAUUCUUUCUCCACCACCAUCAGCAUCCUAAAAUGACAGGGUAACUUUUAGUAAGCAGCUUCUAUCAGUCAAGUGCUAGUUAUGGGUACCCCAUCUCCUGAGCUGGAUUCAGUGAACAGCACUUGUCUUGAGCCAUAAAAUAUAAUACAUAAGAGAGCAGUAUAAACGUGGGUGGUGGGUACAGGAGAGGAAUUAGCCCUGCACUGUGCUGUCCCCUACACAGCCAAUGUCACCGGUACAGUCUGUGCUCCAGGCAAUCAAGUUACAGCAAAUAUAACCGAAAACUGCCUAGUAAUGCUAGGGGUUUACCACCUGUGCAGCCACAUCGCUAGCUAGCUGUCCAGGGCCGCACACAGUUCCCAGGUCCUGUGAUGGACGUACCUGUGACCUACACUAAGCAUUCUGUUUGCUGUCACCUUUUAUCUCUGGGCUAGCUCCUGGGGACAGGCAGUAUUACCAGCCCUACCAUACUGAUGCAGAAAAUGAGACAUGGAAAAGACAGUGAAAUACCCAAACCAUAGAGCAAGUACAUUAAGAAAAGAAGAGUCUAGCCGGGCUUGGUGGUACACACUUGUAAUCUUGGCACCCAGGAGGCUGAGACAAGAAGGUCACCGAGAGUUUGAGGCCAGUUUGGGCUACAUAGUGAGACCUUGUCUCAAACAUAACAACAACAAAAAAAACAAAAACCAAAGUAGAAUGCAGGAGUCCAAUCUAGGACCACCCAACUCUAUAUUUCAUGAUUUAAUUGUACUUGAUCUUUCUAAAUAGUAAGGAUCUUAUUUCAAACUAUAAUUUUGAAGGAAAAUCUCUCAUUUUAUGUACUCCAUGGGCCUUUAAGUUUUUCAGUUUUGUAAACUCAGUGCAAAUGGUUACAUGUCUUUUGGGAACCUUGCUUUUGAAAUUUUAUGUUUUCUUUUGAACACUGGGCCACUCUGCAGUGGCUUCAGAAAGCAUUGAAUCUCUAGCUAGACGCUGGUUUUGGGGAAUCCUGAUCUCAAAUAAAUAUCCUUUGAGUUUUUA